GUGGCAACAAUGGUCGCGCACUGUGCGGCUUAAGAGGAAUUUCCUCCCGCGGGCGCUCCGGCUUUAGUAUGAGCUCCUUGCCGAGGUUUUUCUGAAGGUCUACAGUAGGGGUUCUUGAAAAAAGAAGUGUACAGGUUUUUAAAGGGUCGGCAACGCGCAUGUAUCACUUCUGGAGUUGGAGGCGUGCUUAGGAGUUUCAGUGAUGCUUAUAUUUAAGAGGAUUAAUUACUGAAUUCUCGCUGACAGUACCGUACGUGAAUUUGGCGUGAUAAAAUGUGAAAGUGUCGUAAUAUCAUAUUAUAUACACCGUGGGUUGGUAAAAUCCGACAGAUCUUAAACGCAUUCCUGAGGAUCAAAAAUGUUUAGUAAAAUUCGGAAAAAAAUGUUCUGUUUUUUCUUUUAGCCGAUUUAAAAGCUAUUUUCUGCAUACAGCACGUUAUUUCUUUCUACAUCUUGGCGAAAAAAAAACAUUACAACGAAGAAGUAAAGUUUUCUUAAUUCAUCUAUAGAUCAAAAUUGCGAGUGUUCUUUUUAGUUGAGUAAUGUUUGUCAGAAGGUAUGACUAAACCAAGUCACAUAGAGGCAGCGCCGCAGAGAAAAAGGCGUUUUUCACAAAGUUAUUGCAGAAACAAAUUUUCGCUAAAAUUGCCAUUAUCUCUGAAAGAAGACCGAUUACAGAAAAUUUGUAUGAUAUUUUAGCCUCUAAAUGCGAUUAAGAAUACAACUUUAAAUCUAUCAGGUUUUACCAGCCCACGGUGUAUAACAUCGUGACACUUUCUCACUUCGUCAUUUCAAAGCCAUUUCUGAGAUAAAGGAAGCAAUAAUUCAGUUGUAUUACCUAGAAAUACAAAAGGCAAAGUUGUUGUUUAACACCUCAUGGUAGCAUAUGGAUACUCAAGAAAAAUUACAAUAUUGAACCACAAGAGAAGCGACAGCGGUUUUAAAAUAAAAUUGUAUUGACAGUUGCGGGGACUUCAAGGCAUGAGGGUUAAACAAACUUUGCUACAGAGCGCAACACGAAUUUAUUUUAUCACACCAUCACGAGGAAAAUAUUUAUUAUUCCAAUUAAUUUAUUAAAUAUUCUUUCUAUCAGCCCCUUGGCUAACGUAAAUAGCUUUCUUCAUAAAGGAUUUCUUGUCUCGCCCAUCAAGUUUUAUAUGGUCUAGUCAUAAACUGUAUCUGCCACGACCACGAGUGCCGUCGCCCAUGGACACCUGCAACACAAGAGCGAUUAUAAGAUUUAAAUUUGUGCUUUAGUUUGAAAUAGGAAACUGGACAAUAUUAAGUGUAAAUUGCGUAAUUAUAGCUCUUACAAAUCAAUUUAUUCGUUUAUUCUUUACUUUUAGGUAACUAAUGAAAGAUUGGUUUAAUAUGAAAACUCAGAAAGAUAAAUCUGUAAUAUUUUGCUAACACUGAACGACUGCAUUUGAGAAUUUAUUUUGUCGCAUCGCCAUCUCCGAAACCCACAAAUCCCUUUGCAAAAAUAAAGUAAACCCGGGAUAAAAGAGCCUACCUAGCUUUUUGAGGGGACGUUUAUCGCAGACUUCUACAUCCAGGCGGUACUUGGCCACCAAAAACGUGCAGACACCACCGGCUGGAUUUGGCUGGAUCACGUGAUGCAAGUGGAUCAAGUGCGCAUACCUAAUGUCGCACCAGUAAUGUCGCAACGGUAGUGCAGCUGCAGUUGGAAAUGGACUGUCACCUUAACACUGACGUAUUCAGGCCGCUGCAGUAAUGUCGGAGCAGUAGUGCAGCUGCGGUCGGAAAUACGUUAAAAUUACCAUAUUACGUGCAGUCGGUACCGUCAUUGAUUUUACUAUGGAAAUUGACAAUAACAGCGACGCGUUCAGGCCGCUGCAGUAAUGUCGGAGCAGUAGUGCAGCUGCGGUCAGAAAUGGACUGUCACCUUAAAAGUAAAAUUGAUAUUUAGCCAAAAAUUAAUUACCAUUUAAAAUAUGUUUAACUGGAAAAAAAUAUUAAUUUAAUUCCUCUCCACGGAUAAACCGGUGAAUCAAUUUAGUUACAAUUUUAAAAAUCAUCCCGUAAGGGUGUGAAAAGGGAAGUGAAAAGUUGUAGUUGUUAUUGGGGAAUCGAUAAUCGCAGAACCGAUUUAGAGGUCAGAUCACACAAGGCUUUUGGCGGUCGGAGCUCGGGAAGCAGGCUACUGGCUACAUGCCUAUCCUUCACCUAAUACUGGUCCUUUCUUGGAUCUGAUCUCCCUAAGACUGACGACUGGUUUGUGACUGGGGGUUUCGGUAUGUACGCCACAUAUAUGCUCUUGUGGCACGGACGUGGACCGACUGGGAUAGCAUGGAUUAUCUUGUCAAAAAAGUGCAGGUCGUUUUUCAAGACAUGCGUCGCUUAAUGACAUAAUCCGUCGGUCUCUUGCCCCCAUCAAUGUGCCUGCUCUUCUUGAGCCGACUGGCAUUAUCAAGGAUGAUGGGAAGAGGCCUGAUGGGGUGUCCAUGGUUCCUUGAAGCUUGGGACGGAUGUUAGUUGGCAGGUAGCAUCACCUGCGUAGACACACUGGCACCGUCCCACCUCCAACGGACUAAUGUAAAUGCGGGCGCAGCGGAGGAAAGCGCCGAAAUUUUGAAACGUAAUAAAUAUAAGAGCCUCGGUAGAGAGUACAAAUUUUGUACCAUUUGGCGUUGAAACUCUAGGUCCAUGGGGUCCCAGCGCGCACAAGUUUUUUGCAGAAAUCGCGAAACGUCUGGUUGACGUAACUGGUGACCGAAGAGCCGGCGGCUUCCUCGCACUCGCACAACGUAUCAGUAUUGCGAUACAACGAGAAAAUGCCGCCAGCAUCCUUGGUACAAUGCCAUAAGGGUCUAUUUUAGAUUUAAGCUAGUUAAAGUAAUCCUCUGUAUAUACCCAUUAUGUAUAUUGGUAUUGUAAAUAAAGUUUUUUCAUUUUUUUUUGAGGAAAUCUACGUCUACCUACAUCUUUUAAUUUAGUUGAAAUUGAUACCAAACUUGGCUUGGAACCUAAACUUAAACAAUGAUUACCUUUAGGGGCAUAUAUUUCCAAGUGUAAGAAAGGCUAGGGGUUAUAAUGCCCAUGGUCCAUUAGUCCGAAUUAGGGUGUGCAAUCCGGACCCGAAAUCUAUGAAAUUACCGGAUAAUUUCUGGCUCCGGAUCCGCGGAUCUUCGCACACAUUUCGGAUCCGUCGUGCAAAACCCUAGUCCGAAUGUAACAAUGCUCUGAUGUCGGAAAGUCCAGGUGUAACAAUAGGUAACCCUUUGUCAAUAAGUCCGGAUGUUAUGAUGCCUUCAUGUUAGAAUGUAUAGGUGUCACAAUUGUCAAAAUGUCCUGAUAUCAUAUUUCUUGUAUCUCAGAAAGUCUUAAAUGGUUCCAAAAGUUUAGGGUUAUCAGAAGCAUUUGUUUGAAAACAAUUAAAAAGUAGACAUUUUGACAGGAGCGCCGUUGUAUAUGCGGUGUGAUGGUAGAGGAGGAUGGGCACCACGGUCUGAGUUGCCAGAGGUGUGCUGGAUGUUUCCCGAGGCAUCAUUCUAUUAGCGACGUAAUACGUCGAGCCAUGGUAUCGGCUAAUGUCCCAUGCGUUCUGAAGCCACCGGGUUUGUCACGGGCAAGAGACCGGACGGAUUAACGUUGGUUCCUUGGCGGAAGGGGCGUUGUCUGUUGUGGGAUGCAACAUGUGUAAGUACAUAUGCUGCAUCUCAUUUGAGACACACUCUGAAGUUGGCGGGAUCGGCGGCAGAAACGGCUGCAAGGCUCAAACACACCAAGUACUCCACCUUAGAAGUGGCGUACGCUUUCGUACCGGUCGCCGUGGAGACUGCUGGACCCUGAGGUAAU